rnacentral:tRNA from 1 species
GGUAAGGUGGCUGAGUAGGCGGUGAAUUGUAAAUUCAUUUACGAGAGAAUUUUCUCCCUUACCA